UACGUAGGGUGCAAGCGUUGUCCGGAAUUAUUGGGCGUAAAGAGCUCGUAGGCGGUUUGUCGCGUCUGCUGUGAAAACUCGGGGCUUAACUCCGGGCCUGCAGUGGGUACGGGCAGACUAGAGUGCGGUAGGGGAGACUGGAAUUCCUGGUGUAGCGGUGAAAUGCGUAGAUAUCUGGAGGAACACCGGUGGCGAAGGCGGCAUCCUGGACCGGUAUUGACGCUGAGGCGCGAAAGCUAGGGGAGCAAACGGG
rnacentral:rRNA from 1 species